UGGAUGAUGUGGAUUAAUUCGAUGCAACGCGAAGAACCUUACCUACCUUGACAUGCCCGGAACUUGCCAGAGAUGGCUUGGUGCCCGAAAGGGAAUCGGAACACAGGUGCUGCAUGGCUGUCGUCAGCUCGUGUCGUGAGAUGUUGGGUUAAGUCCCGCAACGAGCGCAACCCUUAUCAUUAGUUGCUACGCAAGGGCACUCUAAUGAGACUGCCGGUGACAAACCGGAGGAAGGUGGGGAUGACGUCAAGUCCUCAUGGCCCUUAUGGGUAGGGCUUCACACGUCAUACAAUGGUCGGUACAGAGGGUUGCCAAGCCGCGAGGCGGAGCCAAUCCCACAAAGCCGAUCGUAGUCCGGAUUGUUCUCUGCAACUCGAGAGCAUGAAGUCGGAAUCGCUAGUAAUCGCAGGUCAGCAUACUGCGGUGAAUACGUUCCCGGGUCUU
rnacentral:rRNA from 1 species